rnacentral:rRNA from 1 species
AGGUGAACCUGCGGAAGGAUCAUUACCGAGUGUAGGGUUCCUAGCGAGCCCAACCUCCCACCCGUGUUUACUGUACCUUAGUUGCUUCGGCGGGCCCGCCAUUCAUGGCCGCCGGGGGCUCUCAGCCCCGGGCCCGCGCCCGCCGGAGACACCACGAACUCUGUCUGAUCUAGUGAAGUCUGAGUUGAUUGUAUCGCAAUCAGUUAAAACUUUCAACAAUGGAUCUCUUGGUUCCGGCAUCGAUGAAGAACGCAGCGAAAUGCGAUAACUAGUGUGAAUUGCAGAAUUCCGUGAAUCAUCGAGUCUUUGAACGCACAUUGCGCCCCCUGGUAUUCCGGGGGGCAUGCCUGUCCGAGCGUCAUUGCUGCCCAUCAAGCACGGCUUGUGUGUUGGGUCGUCGUCCCCUCUCCGGGGGGGACGGGCCCCAAAGGCAGCGGCGGCACCGCGUCCGAUCCUCGAGCGUAUGGGGCUUUGUCACCCGCUCUGUAGGCCCGGCCGGCGCUUGCCGAACGCAAAUCAAUCUUUUCCAGGUUGACCUCGGAUCAGGUAGGGAUACCCGCUGAACUUAAGCAUAUCAAUAAGCGGAGGA